AUAAACGGUGGAUAUAACGCUGGAUUUGGAGAUCGUUUGAAACUGAUAGAUGGAGCAGUCUCAGCGCUAAAAGAAGCCGGUCAUGAACCGCACACGGGAAGUGAAACGGAGUCAUGUCUGUGUUUUGUUGACAAUCGGUGCAUACGUGUAUAAGAUGUUCCUGCUGUAAAUCUAGGGAACCGGGCAGGAGACGACAUUUAUUUUCAGGUACAGUAAUUUACCUGAGGACUUCAUAUCAUGCCUCCCUCUCUAACCAGGAGAACCUGACCUGUUGCGUUUGUGUCGCUCCGCCUGACCUCAGUCAGUGACCUGCAUAUUAAUCCUCACUGUGGAACUAUGUUAACUGAAGCCUACGAACAAUAAAAUGACACGUUUCACGACAAGCCAAGUGUGGGGAAAACCGUUGAGGAUGUUUCGGUCUUCUCUGACUUGUUCCACGCCACCGGAAGGCCGUGUAGACGGAGCGCUGGGUCGGCAGUCAGCUCAGCGCUGAUUGAAACCCAAUCCACAUACCCCCUCCUCCCUCUAAAACGCACCGCACAGCUGCCGCAAAGAUCAAAAGCUCCAUUCCCUCUCGCAGGAAUGGAAAAAUAGAGGCCCCGCUGUGUCUCGCUCGCUCGGCCGUGGAUGCUCGGCCCUUAUCCUGCGGUCCUCUACAGAGCGCUUGUUUCUGAUUGGUCAAGCAUCACUCAGCGCUCACUCC